CCUACGGGUGGCAGCAGUAGGGAAUUUUCGGCAAUGGGGGGAACCCUGACCGAGCAACGCCGCGUGCACGAAGAAGUUAUUCGUAAUGUAAAGUUCUUUUAACAGGGAAGAAAGAGAAAUUUGACGGUACCUGAAGAAUAAGCUCCGGCUAACUACGUGCCAGCAGCCGCGGUAAUACGUAGGGAGCGAGCUUUAUCCGGAUUUAUUGGGCUAAAAGGGUGCGUAGAUGGCUUGGUAAGUCUUUUGUAAAAAUGGUGGGCUAAACCCAGUAGGGCAAAAGAUACUGCAAAGCUAGAGUAUGACAGAGGCAAGUGGAACUACAGGUGUAGCGGUAAAAUGCUUAGAUAUAUGUAAGAACACCAGUGGCGAAGGCGGCUUGCUGGGUCGAUACUGACAUUGAGGCACGAAAGCGUGGGGAGCAAACAGGAUUAGAUACCCAUGUAGUC
rnacentral:rRNA from 1 species